CUGGUCGGUGCCGAUGACAGGCUCUCAGAAGCAGCCUCCAGGCGGGCACUCCUGGGCCAGGCAGCGUGGCAGGCCGCUGCAGUUGGUAUCCAGCUGCCAGGGGAGGGAUGAGUGAGUCUGGCUGGGGCAGGGCCACUGGGGGACCCAGAGUGGCAGAAGGCCCUUGCCGGGGGCUGGUGGAGAGAGCUGGGGGCCGCACUUGGCCCCCCCAAGGGAGGGCCAGCACGUGUUGGAUUGUACAAACAGGACUCGCCCCUUGGGGUUAGAGGCACUGUCUUUUGUUGACCUACUGAGCUCCAGGCGCAGGGCUGAGUACUUUAAUCCACUUUUGUUAAAGUGUCCAUUCCUAAAUUAAAUCUGCCCAGUGCCACUUCAUUUCAACAUCCAGUCGGAGCCAGCAUGUGCCAGCGCUUGUCCGGCGCUGGAAUACGGUGCAGACGGGAUGACCAUGGAUGGUCCCUGCCCGCGUGGACGGUGGAUGUUAAGUUUUCUGUGUAAGGAAACCUCAGCUCAGAGAGGCCAGAAUGUCCAUGAUCAUGGAUGCGCUACAGGGAGUUUAUCGCUCAGAUACCAGGAAUAAAAACCUUUGGGAGAUGGGGUAAAAACUAAAACAGGCAAAGCCAUUUUGCAGCCAUUGGUGUUCUCAAAAUGGCCCUUUCUGCUCUGUGCCAGACCCAGACCCUUCCACUGUGCUGGGAGCCUGCAGUGUAGAUGAGGGCCUGGGGUUUUUCACGGGUUCUUCACGAUGGCGUCCACUGCAGAUGCCAUUCUGCAUCUGAUGGGUGCUGACCUCUGUCUCGUGGAAACGCUCACACCUUAUCUUAGGGGUCCAAGGAUCAGCUGGGAGCCGGGGAUCACUGGCACCUGCUGCGGUCUGCUCCAUGGCUGGGGUCACAGGGUGAGGGGGGCUCCUGCAGAUCGGGGCAGAACAGAGGGGCCAGGGUGCAUGUACAGGCCAGGAUGAGCCAGUGAAGCCAGCUCUCUGUGGGCAAACGGACCGUGUCGGGUCCGGACAGCCCUGUGCCGCCCGCCUGUGUGGCCUCUGCUAAGGUGCCCACGCCCCUGAUUCCCGGGCCCCAUGUGUCUUGGGGUUGCUCACUCCUCUCUUGAUUCCCCAGGACAUCUCUCAGGAAGGGCAGGGAGCCUGCUGCCAGCUGGCCCUGGCUCAGGGUACAAGAGAAGCCCAGCUGCACUGUCAGUGACUGGAUGGAGCGGUGCUGGUGAGCUCAGGGUCCUUGCUGGAGGGCCGGAGCCACCAUGUGGCGUCCAUCUCCUGCUCACAGGCAGAGCGGCCUCACUCAGCAAACAUGGGCUCCGUCAGAGAGGCCCAGACCCAGGCUCAGAAGGUGUUGGCAGGGCCUGGGUCCAGCUGGGUGAGGACCAAAGGUUAGCCUGGAGCACCCAGUGCUGGGCUGAGGGCCCAAGGAAUCUGGGGAGCCUCCCGGAGGUGGCAGAACCCCAGCCCCAGGCUUGUUACCGCAUCCAGCCCCGGCCUGCCACGUCCCAGGGCCCUGCUGCCAGGCACAGUGCCGCCCCUCCUGCCCCCACGCCAGCCCUGCACAGGCCACAUCUGCUGCUGCAGCCCCGCCAGAGCUCCGCCUCCCCAGCUCUGUCCCCAUGGAAACCGGGGUGGGAGGGGGCGGGGUGGGGGGGAGGCCCUCCUGCUGCAUUUGGCCCGCUGACUGGUUUCCAUUAGAGCCAGCCUGCUUUCCUUGAGCCCUACCCCUAAUUCAAGGCUUCCCCCCAUGGGUUUCUUCCCGCAUUUACUGAGCACCAGCCUUCUGUGCCAGGGGGCCCUGCUGUCGGCCACCCGCCCGGAUGACACCCACGGUGGAGUGAGUGCCCGAGGGCCCGCAUUUCCCUGGCCGUGGCUGCUCGCAGUCUUGGCAGGCUGCAGGCUCAGACCCCGUCCUUUCUCACCCACAUCAGCAGCUGCCGAGGACUGAGCCCUGGACUUGGGUGCUUGGCCCCCUGCUCCUAUCCUGGACGGGGGCCUUGAGUAAGCCCCUUCCUGUCUCCGGGCCUCAGUUUACCUAUCUGUAAAAUGAGAGGGUAAAACUGUUUCUCCAGUUCCUUGCGAUGCCAAACAAGAAAAAGAAACAAAGAGAACAGGAAGCUGCAACGAAGCCAGCUCUUCAGAGUCCCAGUUCUGGGACUUUUGUUUGUUUUCAAAGAGGGAUUUUUUUUUUUUUUUUUUUUAACGAGAAGAAGUCAUGGAAUUUGACCAGAGACGGUGGUUUGAGAGGCCGAGAGCCCGUCGAAGCUUGUGCACCCCGGGCAUGGGAAGGCCCUGCCCCUGGCUGUGGGUGCCCGGAGGCCUGGGCAGCUGUGCCCGCCAAGCUCCACUCGGCAUCUGUCGGGUGCCCGGCUGUGAACGCGGUGGGUGGAGGUGAACCGUGCCCGCGAUGGGAUACAGAGGGCUCUGGAAAACUACCCGCGAGGUUUCCGGAGGGCUACCAUCCAGCUCCUGGCUGACGCCCGGUCUCCCGUCUGUGAUAGACUCAGGAGGCUUGUGUUGCCCGCAACCCAUGGCACCAUCCCCCAUCUCUCCAGGCUGUUGCACAACAUCACCUCCUCCUGGAAGCCCUCCCUACUGCCCACCUGCCCACUGCCCUGCAGGACUGUGACCCGAGCUUGGAUGAUCGGUUCGUGCCCGUGUCUGCUGAGGAAAACUGAGUGCCUCCGGAAGGACAGGCCAGAAUCACCAGCCUGACACUGGGCAGGCUCUUGGGUAAUGUUUCAUGAAUGAACGAAACAGAAUCCAGAGACUGAAAUGGAAGAAGAGAGGGCCGUGGACCAACCAUGCGUAGCGCUGUGGCCCAGCCACCAAGCCUGCCACAUCUCCUGGGGAGUCGGGAUGCUCAGAGAAGUAAAUGGACAAGAGUUUAUUUUUCUACCUCCA